rnacentral:rRNA from 1 species
CUACGGGGGGCACCAGUGAGGAAUAUUGCACAAUGGGGGGAACCCUGAUGCAGCAACGCCGCGUGGAGGAUGACGCAUUUCGGUGUGUAAACUCCUUUUAUAUGUCAAGAAAAUGACGGUAGCAUAUGAAUAAGCACCGGCUAACUCCGUGCCAGCAGCCGCGGUAAUACGGAGGGUGCAAGCGUUACUCGGAAUCACUGGGCGUAAAGGACGCGUAGGCGGGCUUGUAAGUCAGGUGUGAAAUCCUACAGCUUAACUGUAGAACUGCACUUGAAACUACGAGCCUAGAGUAUGGGAGGGGCAGAUGGAAUUAGUGGUGUAGGGGUAAAAUCCGUAGAUAUCACUAGGAAUACCUAAAGCGAAGGCGAUCUGCUGGAACAUAACUGACGCUAAGGCGUGAAAGCGUGGGGAGCAAACAGGAUUAGAUACCCCGGUAGUC